UACGAAGGGGGCUAGCGUUGUUCGGGAUUACUGGGCGGAAAGGGCGCGUAGGCCGCGCGUUAAGUCAGGUGUGAACGCCCUGGGCUCAACCCAGGAAUUGCACUUGAUACUGACGUGCUUGAGUCCGGAAGAGGAUGACGGAAUUCCCAGUGUAGAGGUGAAAUUCAUUGAUAUUGGGAAGAACACCAGUGGCGAAGGCGGUCAUCUGGUCCGGUAUUGACGCUGAGGUGCGAAAGCGUGGGGAGCAAACAGG
rnacentral:rRNA from 1 species